UCAGCGUAUUACUCUAUGUAGCGGGCCCGUUGCGUGCGGAUGUUUACCUUGUGUACUAGCUGGCGAAUUUCUGCAACGCGAUUUGUUCUUUACUUAAUUGUCUAAUAAUAUCUCUCUAAUUUAGUGUUUGAGUCUCUAAUUGUGUUCCUCAGUUGUGUUUUUUAAAUUAAUUUAUAGGUGUAGCUUUUAAUUUAAGGGACAAUUCUUCGAAGAUCGGCGGUGUAGGUGCGUCUGCCCUAGCCCGGCUUCGGUCCUAAAUAUCUCGUCAACUCGGCAAAUAUUCACAGGGAACGUACCUCCAAAUAAGUGUCACUGCGAAGGCGUGGUCAUCCCUUUGAUCGGCAAGGAGAUCGAAGGGAAGGUCCACCUUCUUUGUCCGCGGUGCGAGUGUUCCUACCAGACGCGAAACACUACACUUAUCAUGAUUCAGGACUAAAACCAGGGAAAAAUUCUAAUUCAGGGCGUAGUGUUUCUUAUGCUAACACUGAUCGGGAUGGCGGUUAUUUACAUGAUCACCCUCUUGUGGCUGAACACCUGGGUCAUGAGUCAGCGGAUGGAAACCCCCAUAGUCGCGGUAGAAGACGGCAAAGGUCGCACUGAGGAGGAGGAUAGGCUGUUGUUGUGUGAAGAUCCAGAGGAUUGAAACUGGACAGUAACACAGUGGAUUCAAGAAAAGAGACAAUUUUGAAGAGUUCUGGGUUGAUGAGAGCAAAAGCUACAUUGGAGUAAAUAAGGCUAUAAUAUUAGACCUUAUUUUUGAUACUACAGAUAUUUAUUUUAAUAUUUUUUUAAUAAUGUUGAUGUUGUUCGUUUUGACUUUGUUAACUGAAAGAGUGAGACUAGUUGUAACAAAUAAUAAGAAUUGACUAUCGAUUGACAACGAAAAUAAGUUGAAAGUAUUUUCAUAAUAUUUUUAUGUAUAGAUAGUUCAACUCAGAUUUGCGCGCGGCCCUAUGUGUGCGUUGGCUUGUAAAUAUACAACUUUCAUUCGUGUGACAGUGACGUCGUCCGAGCAUGACGUGUUCUUAUCGCUUUUUGUUAUAGGUACAGUCGUUUACGAAAAUGUCUUGUUCUUCACGGAGAAAAUGUUUUUAGGAGUCAGGUAGCGUUCCAAAAAAUGAAACAUUCAAAGCUUUUUAUUAUUACAUUUUACAGUUUUUCAUUAUUUUCUCAUACGUUUUUUUUUUUAAAUUGACUUUGGCAGUAUAUAAGAAAUAAAUGAGGUGAAAUGUCUAAGAUGAAUUAAAUACUUCUUACAUAUUUUCUAGCUCGGGGUACGCGUACAAUAAAUAAAAGUGUGGACUAAGAAUGUAAAAAGACGUAUAAUCUAGUAUAAUAAUGUAAACAAAAUGUGAAAAUGAACGAAAUGUAAAAAAAAGGGGAAUUAAAAAAAUAUAUAUAUUGCUUCGUUCGCAUAAUGUCAACCAAAAUAAGACGGAAAUAAUGAAACUCAUAAAUGAACGUUUAACGGCCAGUUUCUUCAUCAAAAGUAAAAGUCAAAGUAAUGCCUUACUUACUAAAGUAAAAGUAACGGUCAAAUUAGUUUUUUCAAGGCUAAAGUGACAGCAAAACUAAUAGAAAAAAUGAUUUUGACCGUUACUUUUACUUUAGACAUUACUUUGACUUUUACUUUGGCUUUUACUUUUGAUGAAGAAACUGGCUGUAAGUCAAAUUGAUGAAGGUAAUACUUGUCGACAUGUACAAAAGAAAAAAGAAGAAUACUGUAGACAUUUUGACAUGGAGUCAAAAUUUACAAUUGACCUUGGUGAGAGUAGCGAAUCUGAAAAUUCAUCAUUUAUUUUUCAAGUAGCGAUUCAGAAUCAUUAUAAAUAAAUAAACAUUAAAUUACGUAAUAACUGUUUUUCUUUAAACAGCCGUAUACAACCCCUAAAUAACUUUAUUUGUACCCGACUGUACCUCUUGUCACGCACACAAAGUCACUGUAUAUGUACAAGGGUUACCCACACAUAAGGCCGCGCGCAAGACUGAGUUGAACUUACUAUACCUCUUUUUGAGUUAAUAGUAAUAUUACUUAAGUUGCUACCUAUUUUUUGAGAUAACUUUAAAAGUUAAAUUGUUAUCGAUAUAGAUUUUUCAAUAAUAAUUAGUUUACUGUGUAUGAGGAAUAGAUAUAGUGUUUAAACAUAUAUUUUUAUACAUAAGCUGUGAAAACUGUUCUUCAUAGGAAAGUUUUCUGGCGAUUGAAAAAUCGGCCUCAACUAAGUACCCAUAUUCUACAUGUAUGUUCCCAGUUCCCAAUUCGAGAUAAGACGAACAUUAAUAGGCAUGACGAAUCAAAACAGGAAUUAGUCCGUCUUUUAAAUAACUCUAAAAUAAUGGACACGUAUUUUUUAACUUUUUUCACAGACCAAUAACAACGAAGGUACAACACGUUUUAAUUUUGUGUUACGUCACUUUUAGGUACAAAUACAUAAAUGUGACGUCAUAAACUCCUACUCCCAACGUUUCACGACUUUUAAAUAAGUGAAUUUUUAAUCCAUACUAAUUUUAUAAAGCUGAAGAGUUUGUUUAUUUGUUUGAACGCGCUAAUCUCAGGAACUACUGGUCCGAUUUGAAAAUUUCUUUCAGUGUUAGAUAGCCCAUUUAUCGAGGAAGGCUAUAGGCUACUUUUUAUCCCGGUACGGGAAGUAGUUCCCACGGGAUGUGGGUGAAACCGCUGGCAGAAGCUAGUGUUUUGUUAAAAAAAUACGUGUUCAAUUUAUUUUAUUUUAAUAUAAAAGACGGAUUAUUCCAUUAAAAUCACUAUUUUUUAACCCUUUGGUCUAUUAUAUGUAUAGGUGCGAAUGCCAAAGUUAUGGGACUGAAACGAAAUUGUGUUAUUACGUAUGUUUUGUUGCAUUUGUUACAAGUUCUUAUCAUGUAAAUAUGUCGUAUUAUUAUUGAGCUUUUGUAUAUUUUAAUAAAUUUUAAUUUAAAUCUUUGACUAUUUUGGUGUUUCAAAGCCAUCGAAUUUGCUUAGAAAAAAUAUAUUGAUGUGUAAUUAAAUAUUGCCUACAUACA
rnacentral:misc_RNA from 1 species